ensembl:ncRNA lncRNA:CR44196 long non-coding RNA:CR44196
AGCACUCUAUUAUAAUUUGGCAAUCGAUUUAUAUUUAAAUAUGCCAGACAAAUCAGAUGCGCUCACGUGGACAGACACACAACCGAUAAGUGUAUUAAGUGCUUUAUUAAAUGCAUGCGAUAAUCUUAAUUGAAAUUGCACAGUCGUUUUUGGACACAGACACUUGGCAGUCAGCUCGGACAGUUGAGCUGCUGCCUCUGUAGUUGUUAAGCAGCCAAUUAGUUGGACAACAGAACGGAACCGGAAGUGGGAAAGUGGGGAAGCGGCAUAUAAAGCAGUCGUAACGGAAUACAGGCCGCUACGGGACAAACUCUUGAGCGGGGCACAAACAUCCGGAACUGGGAUCUGGAGUGGUGUGCCGGGCAUAUAGACACUCUUGGCAGGGAAAUGGAUUGCGAUUGCCAGGGACGGGCAAAUCACUUGGCUAAAUAGACAGCCAAAAGGACGGCCAACGCUUUUGGUCAGUAACAGUUACAUCAAUUGGCAAACAGAUGCACUGGCACACCAACCGACCAACCGACCAACCAACCAACCAACCAACCGACCAAACAACCAACCAGCCAACAGACAGACAACAAUUGUCCGGAGACAUGUUGCUCUUGUUGGAAUAAACAGCCGGCAGCCAGACAGAUAUGAGCUGGGAGUAUCAAGGGCGGGCCAGAAGGGGCAAUCAAGAUUAUUAUUGUUUGGGGGCAGCACCAGUAGCACCAACAGCACCAGCAGCACCAAGUACUUGGAGCACCAGCUUCGCACACUUUGACUUCAACUCAUUCACAUUUAUGUCACUCCAUCUGAACCCCAACCACUUCAUGCCCCCGAAGAACAAACAGGACAUGCGGGGAGAUUUCUGGGCGUGGACCAUUGCUUUAAGGACCAUUCAAAUGCAUUGUUGGUGCUUGUGCUCGCCAAAGUGGUAGUC